UGCAGUCGAGCGGAUGACGGGAGCUUGCUCCUGGAUUCAGCGGCGGACGGGUGAGUAAUGCCUAGGAAUCUGCCUGGUAGUGGGGGACAACGUUUCGAAAGGGACGCUAAUACCGCAUACGUCCUACGGGAGAAAGCGGGGGACCUUCGGGCCUUGCGCUAUCGGAUGAGCCUAGGUCGGAUUAGCUAGUUGGUGGGGUAAUGGCUCACCAAGGCGACGAUCCGUAACUGGUCUGAGAGGAUGAUCAGUCACACUGGAACUGAGACACGGUCCAGACUCCUACGGGAGGCAGCAGUGGGGAAUAUUGGACAAUGGGCGAAAGCCUGAUCCAGCCAUGCCGCGUGUGUGAAGAAGGUCUUCGGAUUGUAAAGCACUUUAAGUUGGGAGGAAGGGCAUUAACCUAAUACCUUACUGUUUUGACGUUACCGACAGAAUAAGCACCGGCUAACUCUGUGCCAGCAGCCGCGGUAAUACAAAGGGUGCAAGCGUUAAUCGGAAUUACUGGGCGUAAAGCGCGCGUAGGUGGUUUGUUAAGUUGGAUGUGAAAUCCCCGGGCUCAACCUGGGAACUGCAUCCAAAACUGCUGAGCUAGAGUACGAGUAGAGGGUGGUGGAAUUUCCUGUGUAGCGGUGAGAUGCGUAGAUAUAGGAAGGAACACCAGUGGCGAAGGGCGACCACCUGCACUGAUACUGACACUGAGGUGCGAAAGCGUGGGGAGCAGACAGGAUUAGAUACCCUGG
rnacentral:rRNA from 1 species